rnacentral:rRNA from 1 species
UACGUAGGUGGCAAGCGUUAUCCGGAAUUAUUGGGCGUAAAGAGCGCGCAGGUGGUUGAUUAAGUCUGAUGUGAAAGCCCACGGCUUAACCGUGGAGGGUCAUUGGAAACUGGUCAACUUGAGUGCAGAAGAGGGAAGUGGAAUUCCAUGUGUAGCGGUGAAAUGCGUAGAGAUAUGGAGGAACACCAGUGGCGAAGGCGGCUUCCUGGUCUGUAACAGACACUGAGGCGCGAAAGCGUGGGGAGCAAACAGGAUUAGAUA